CUCUUACUCCAUCCGUCCCAAAAUUCGUGUCUUAGAUUUGUCUAGAUAUGAAUGUACCUAGUCAUGUUUUAAUAUUUAGAUACAUUCAUUUUUAGACAAACCUAAGACAAGAAUUUUAGGAUGGAGGGAGUAUUUC
rnacentral:pre_miRNA from 1 species